rnacentral:misc_RNA from 1 species
GAUGAAGAACGUAGUGAAAUGCGAUAAGUAGUGUGAAUUGCAGAAUUCAGUGAAUCAUCGAAUCUUUGAACGCACAUUGCGCCCUUUGGUAUUCCAAAGGGCAUGCCUGUUCGAGCGUCAUUUGUACCCUCAAGCUUUGCUUGGUGUUGGGCGUCUUGUCUCUAGCUUUGCUGGAGACUCGCCUUAAAGUAAUUGGCAGCCGGCCUACUGGUUUCGGAGCGCAGCACAAGUCGCACUCUCUAUCAGCAAAGGUCUAGCAUCCAUUAAGCCUUUUUUUCAACUUUUGACCUCGGAUCAGGUAGGGAUACCCGCUGAACUUAAGCAUACAAUAAGCGGAGGA